CAAUAGCGUAUAUUAAAGUUGUUGCGGUUAAAAAGCUCGUAGUUGGAUUUCUGCUGAGAACGACCGGUCCGCCCUUUGGGUGUGUAUCUGGCUCUUUCUUGGCAUCUUCUUGGUGAACGUUGCUGCACUUGACUGUGUGGAGCGCUACCCAGGACUUUUACUUUGAGGAAAUUAGAGUGUUUCAAGCAGGCAUACGCCUUGAAUACAUUAGCAUGGAAUAAUAAGAUAGGACCUCGGUUCUAUUUUGUUGGUUUCUAGAGCUGAGGUAAUGAUUAAUAGGGAUAGUUGGGGGCAUUCGUAUUCAACAGCUAGAGGUGAAAUUCUUAGAUUUGUUGAAGACGAACUACAGCGAAAGCAUUUGCCAAGGAUGUUUUCAUUAA
rnacentral:rRNA from 1 species